rnacentral:rRNA from 1 species
GACGAACGCUGGCGGCGUGCUUAACACAUGCAAGUCGAACGGAAAGGCCCUGCUUUUGUGGGGUGUUCGAGUGGCGAACGGGUGAGUAAAACGUGAGUAACCUGUCCUUGACAUUGGGAUAACAUAUGGAAACUGGGGCUAUAAUAGCGUAGGAGCACCUGCUGCAUGGGGGGGGAUGGAAAGAUACGGCGGUUCGUGAAGGAGUCGCGGUUUAGCAGUGUGUUGGCGAGGUGGUGGCUUAACAAGGCGUUGACGGGAGGCCGGCCUGGGAGGGUGACAGGCCACAUUGGGACUGAGAUACGGCCCGGACUCCUACGGGAGGCAGCGGUGGGGGAUAGUGCACACUGGGCGGAGGCCUGAUGCAGCAACGCCGCGUGCGGGAUGACGGCCUUCGGGUUGUAAACCUCGUUCGCCUGUGACGAAGCGUGAGUGACGGUAAUGGGUAAAGAAGCACCGGCUAACUACGUG